GUGAGCUGGGUUUAGACCGUCGUGAGACAGGUCGGUCCCUAUCUGGUGUGGGCGUAGGAUGAUUGAGGAGACUCUUUUCUAGUACGAGAGGAUUGAAAAGAACGUACCUCUGGUGUGCCAGUUGUCGCGCUAGCGGCAUCGCUGGGUAGCUAAGUACGGACCGGAUAAGCGCUGAAAGCAUCUAAGCGCGAAGCCAACUCCAAGACUGGUCAUCCCUGAGACACCUGGUAGACCACCAGGUUGAUAGGCCGGGAGUGUAAGGACAGUAAUGUCUUCAGCUGACCGGUACUAACCAGUCGAUCGG
rnacentral:rRNA from 1 species